AGUGAACGCUGGCGGCAGGCCUAACACAUGCAAGUCGAGCGGCAGCGGGUCCCCGCGAGGGGAUGCCGGCGAGCGGCGGACGGGUGAGGAACACAUCGGAAUCUGCCUGGUUGUGGGGGAUAACGUAGGGAAACUUACGCUAAUACCGCAUGCGACCCUGAGUCGACGGACUGGGGGUGAAAGUGAGGGACCUUCGGGCCUCACGCGACCAGAUGAGCCGAUGUCGGAUAGCUAGUUGGCGGGGUAACGGCCCGCCAAGGCGACGAUCCGUAGCUGGUCUGAGAGGAUGAUCAGCCACACUGGGACUGAGACACGGCCCAGACUCCUACGGGAGGCAGCAGUGGGGAAUCUUGGACAAUGGGCGCAAGCCUGAUCCAGCCAUGCC
rnacentral:rRNA from 1 species